rnacentral:rRNA from 1 species
UACAGAGGUCUCAACCGUUGUUCGGAUUCAUUGGGCGUAAAGGGUGCGUAGGCGGUCGUGCAAGUCGGAUGUGAAAUCUCGGGGCUCAACCCCGAAACUGCAUUCGAUACUGCGUGGCUCGAGUACUGGAGAGGAGACUGGAAUUUACGGUGUAGCAGUGAAAUGCGUAGAUAUCGUAAGGAAGACCAGUGGCGAAGGCGAGUCUCUGGACAGUUACUGACGCUGAGGAGCGAAAGCGUGGGGAGCGAACAGG